rnacentral:lncRNA from 1 species
CAAACGGUGAAGAGAAACAAUCCCUCUGCUCAUUGUGUCACCAUUCCCUCAGUGAGCGACUGGCUGAGUCACCACUACCACAAGGGAGCUGAAGCACACUGAGCCAUGCAGCACUGCACCUAGAACAGAGAGCUCCAUGACAGCCUUCAGCGCUCGCAUAGCCUGUGUUCCAUAAUUUAAGCAAUGUCAAGUGCAGCAUCAUUAUUUGGGUUUCCUGUCUGGCUAAGAACAAGAGUGGCACCACUUCAUGUCUAAUGCAUCAUCUCUUCGGGAUCUGUAUGCUGCCCUUGCAGAGAGACGGGCUCAGCAACCUAACUGAUCUGUGCCAUGUCUAACUUUAAUAAGUCUGUA